AUCCUUUUCCAUUUCAUAAGCAUGAUAAUCAGGUGAUGACACUUCUAUGUGACAUGCACCUCCCUUUAAUCUUAGAACUUGGCACAAAACCUAUCUGACA